rnacentral:rRNA from 1 species
CAUCAGACCGUUUCGCGACGGGCUGCUAUUUGAUGAAUCUGAAUAACGUUGUAGAUCGCAUGGUCGAGUACCGGCGACAUGUCUUAUAAAUGCCUGCCUUAUCAACUUUGGUUGGUAGGUUAUACGCCUACCAUGGUGAUAACGGGUAACGGAGGAUAAGGGUUCGACUCCGGAGAGGGAGCCUGAGAAACGGCUGCCACAUCCAAGGAAGGCAGCAGGCACGCAAAUUACCCAAUUUCGGAACGAAGAGGUAGUGAUGAAAAAUAACGAGGCGGUGCUCUUUGAGACCCGUCAUCGGAAUGAUCUUGAUUUAAAACUGCUCGCGAGGAAUAAUUGGAGGGCAAGUCUGGUGCCAGCAGCCGCGGUAAUUCCAGCUCCAAUAGCUUAUAUUAAAGUUGUUGCGGUUAAAACGCUCGUAGUUGGAUCUGCUGUAAUCGGGAGCGGUGUCCCCGGUACGUUACCGGGUGACCGACUGCAUCUUGGGCUUCGAUGUCGGUUGAUGCGUUGGAUGCUCUUAAAAAAGUGACCAAUGUGUGCUGAAAAUUUACUUUGAACAAAAUAGAGUGCUUAAAGCAAGUGAUGUGCUUGAAUAUUAUUGCAUGGAAUAAUGGAGAAGGACCUCGGUUCUAUUUUUUGGUUUUCGGAUCUGAGGUAAUGAUUAAAAGGAACAGUCGGGGACAUUCGUAUUGCUGCGUUAGAGGUGAAAUUCUUGGAUCGCAGUAAGACGAACAACUGCGAAAGCAUUUGUCAAGGAUGUUUUCAUUAAUCAAGAACGAAAGUUAGAGGUUCGAAGGCGAUCAGAUACCGCCCUAGUUCUAACUGUAAACGAUGCCAACUAGCGAUUCGUUGAUGUUAUUGGAUUACGAUUGGACGAGAAUCUUCCGGGAAACCAAAGUUAUUCGGUUCCUGGGGAAGUAUAGUUGCAAAGCUGAAACUUAAAGGAAUUGACGGAAGGGCACCACCAGGAGUGGAGCCUGCGGCUUAAUUUGACUCAACACGGGAAAUCUCACCCGGCCCGGACAUUGAAAGGAUUGACAGAUCGAGAGCUCUUUCUUAAUUCGAUGGGUAGUGGUGCAUGGCCGUUCUUAGUUGGUGGAGCGAUUUGUCUGGUUAAUU